AUUGAACGCUGGCGGCAGGCCUAACACAUGCAAGUCGAGCGGGGUUUUCGGACCUAGCGGCGGACGGGUGAGUAAUGCGUAGGAAGCUACCCGACAGAGGGGGAUACCAGUUGGAAACGACUGUUAAUACCGCAUAAUGUCUACGGACCAAAGUGUGGGACCUUCGGGCCACAUGCUGUCGGAUGCGCCUACGUGGGAUUAGCUAGUUGGUGAGGUAAUGGCUCACCAAGGCGACGAUCCCUAGCUGGUUUGAGAGGAUGAUCAGCCACACUGGAACUGAGACACGGUCCAGACUCCUACGGGAGGCAGCAGUGGGGAAUAUUGGACAAUGGGCGAAAGCCUGAUCCAGCCAUGCCGCGUGUGUGAAGAAGGCCUUCGGGUUGUAAAGCACUUUCAGUAGGGAGGAAGAGUUGAGUGUUAAUAGUACUCAGCUUUGACGUUACCUACAGAAGAAGCACCGGCUAACUCUGUGCCAGCAGCCGCCGUAAUAC
rnacentral:rRNA from 1 species